AAGCGAGUGGCGAACGGGUGAGUAACACGUGGAUAACCUGCCUCAAGGCUGGGGAUAACAUUUGGAAACAGAUGCUAAUACCGAAUAAAACUUAGUAUCGCAUGAUAUAAAGUUAAAAGGCGCUACGGCGUCACCUAGAGAUGGAUCCGCGGUGCAUUAGUUAGUUGGUGGGGUAAAGGCUUACCAAGACAAUGAUGCAUAGCCGAGUUGAGAGACUGAUCGGCCACAUUGGGACUGAGACACGGCCCAAACUCCUACGGGAGGCUGCAGUAGGGAAUCUUCCACAAUGGGCGCAAGCCUGAUGGAGCAACGCCGCGUGUGUGAUGAAGGCUUUCGGGUCGUAAAGCACUGUUGUAUGGGAAGAAAUGCUAAAAUAGGGAAUGAUUUUAGUUUGACGGUACCAUACCAGAAAGGGACGGCUAAAUACGUGCCAGCAGCCGCGGUAAUACGUAUGUCCCGAGCGUUAUCCGGAUUUAUUGGGCGUAAAGCGAGCGCAGACGGUUGAUUAAGUCUGAUGUGAAAGCCCGGAGCUCAACUCCGGAAUGGCAUUGGAAACUGGUUAACUUGAGUGUUGUAGAGGUAAGUGGAACUCCAUGUGUAGCGGUGGAAUGCGUAGAUAUAUGGAAGAACACCAGUGGCGAAGGCGGCUUACUGGACAACAACUGACGUUGAGGCUCGAAAGUGUGGGUAGCAAACAGGAUUAGAUACCCUGGUAGUCCACACCGUAAACGAUGAAUACUAGGUGUUAGGAGGUUUCCGCCUCUUAGUGCCGAAGCUAACGCAUUAAGUAUUCCGCCUGGGGAGUACGACCGCAAGGUUGAAACUCAAAGGAAUUGACGGGGACCCGCACAAGCGGUGGAGCAUGUGGUUUAAUUCGAAGCAACGCGAAGAACCUUACCAGGUCUUGACAUCCUUUGAAGCUUUUAGAGAUAGAAGUGUUCUCUUCGGAGACAAAGUGACAGGUGGUGCAUGGUCGUCGUCAGCUCGUGUCGUGAGAUGUUGGGUUAAGUCCCGCAACGAGCGCAACCCUUAUUGUUAGUUGCCAGCAUUCAGUUGGGCACUCUAGCGAGACUGCCGGUGACAAACCGGAGGAAGGCGGGGACGACGUCAGAUCAUCAUGCCCCUUAUGACCUGGGCUACACACGUGCUACAAUGGCGUAUACAACGAGUUGCCAACCUGCGAAGGUGAGCUAAUCUCUUAAAGUACGUCUCAGUUCGGACUGCAGUCUGCAACUCGACUGCACGAAGUCGGAAUCGCUAGUAAUCGCGGAUCAGCACGCCGCGGUGAAUACGUUCCCGGGUCUUGUACACACCGCCCGUCACACCAUGGGAGUUUGUAA
rnacentral:rRNA from 1 species